rnacentral:rRNA from 1 species
GACGAACGCUGGCGGCGUGCUUAACACAUGCAAGUCGAACGGAAAGGCCGUGCUUUUGUGGGGUGCUCGAGUGGCGAACGGGUGAGUAACACGUGAGUAACCUGCCCUUGACUUUGGGAUAACUUCAGGAAACUGGGGCUAAUACCGGAUAGGAGCUCCCGCUGCAUGGUGGGGGUUGGAAAGUUUCGGCGGUUGGGGAUGGACUCGCGGAUUAUCAGCUUGUUGGUGGGGUAGUGGCUUACCAAGGAUUUGACGGGUAGCCGGCCUGAGCGGGUGACCGGCCACAUUGGUACUGAGAUACGGCCCAGACUCCUACGGGAGGCAGCAGUGGGGAAUAUUGCCCAAUGGUCGGAAGCCUGAUGCAGCAACGCCGCGUGCGGGAUGACGGCCUUCGGGUUGUAAACCGCUUUCGCCUGUUACGAAGCGUGACUGACGGUAAUGGGUAAAGAAGCACCGGCUAACUUCGUG